UACCAGCACCCCGAGUGGUCGGGACGUUUAUUGGGCCUAAAGCAUCCGUAGCCGGUUCUACAAGUCUUCCGUUAAAUCCAACUGCUUAACAGGUGGGCUGCGGAAGAUACUAUAGAGCUAGGAGGCGGGAGAGGCAAGCGGCACUCGAUGGGUAGGGGUAAAAUCCGUUGAUCCAUUGAAGACCACCAGUGGCGAAGGCGGCUUGCCAGAACGCGCUCGACGGUGAGGGAUGAAAGCUGGGGGAGCAAAGCCGG
rnacentral:rRNA from 1 species